rnacentral:lncRNA from 1 species
UUUUUUUUUUUUUUUUUGGAGUUGUUUUUACGCAUUUUAAUAUAGACAAAUCACGGUUUAAAUAAUGCAUGCGCGAGUAAUUCUUAUGUUAAAACUAGUAGUGAAUUUCAUGAGAAGAUUGAAAACAGGGUCAUUAAUUUGAUCAUCAAUCAAAAUGAGUCAACAUAAAAGCGUAUUCAUAUAUGAGACGCUGAAAACCUAUUCUACAAUUUUCUAUUUGAAACUACUCGUGUAUUCAUCAUGGUCUGCUUUGAAAUCUUAAUUGGGUUGGUGAUUAGUUGUGAAAUGGUGCGAUGCAUUAGAUACACCACAGUGCAUGUUGUGAGUCUUGUGAGUGAGUGGAUCACAAGUUUUUACACGGAAAAUUGAGCAGGACCACUAACGAGUAAAAGACGUAGUAAAACAUACUGUAUAUAGAUAGUAGAAGACUUGCGUAGUGGUUGACCGCAUUGCGCCGUGUCCGUGUAAUUGGUGGUACUUUGGUUGACUCCAUUUUCCCAACAUUGACUAUUUAAUUUGUUCGGUCUCUCCUUUAACUUUAAACAGCACGAGUCCACUAAAACAGAUACUACUGUGAUCGGGCCGCCAGAAUGAUGAUAGUGUACAAAACCCAACCAUCCUACUUCAAGGUCCCUCUUGGACUUGUUUGGAUUAUCAAUUUUUUCUCAAAAAAAAUUUUAUAUUUUUUGUGAACUUAUUUUUUAAUCAUUUUUUUAUUUUAUAUAUAUACAUUAAAUCACUGUAGAAAAAUAGGAAUGCAAAUGGAAUCUUACUAUACAAUAUACAGAGCAGAAGGGUAAUUAUUACUAAUUAAUGGGAGAAGAAGGGAAGUUCAUUUUUGUUCGCAUCACAUUUUGACGAAUAAGGAAGAAGGCGAUGGCAUGAGUGUGGCCACGGGAUCGGUAAGGCAACUAGUGCAAUAAAUCAUGCAUGGCAAUGUGGGAUUGGAGGGUUGUAGAAACAAUUAGGUUCAGUGCUAAGUGAUGUUAUCCACACGCAUGCCUGAUAUAUAUAUACAUAUACAUAUAUAUAUAUAUAUAUAUAUGCGGAUAAUCACUUGCUAGGCGGUUCAUGAGUUACUCGUUUUUACGUACUAGUGGAAACUGGAAACACGAUUUUUCCCCCCCUUCCCUCCUCUUACAUAUUUAGGACUACAAGCUGGUUCGUAAUUACAGAGCAGAAGUUGUGCUUUGCAGUUUUAUCGAUCUUGUCCCCUCGUAAUCAUCGAUCCCUUGCGCGAAGGCCCGGAAAUUGAGUUGGACAAAGCCGAAGGAAUACAAUAAGUCCUGUGUGCACUCAAGAGUCUCUUUAGAUUUGCCGUGGGAAUUCAAACCGGAAAACUUGAGUUAAAAAAUGUUUUUUUUUUUUUUGAGGCAUGCUAGAAUCAGAUUUGAUUUGCUCUCAAUAGUUUACAGAACCGCAUCAGAGAUGGUUUUGGUCCUCAAUUAUAUAAUGGACCAUCUUCAUCAUAUCUGAAAGUGGGGUUGCAUCUCACUAAAAUCUCAGAAAACAACAAUUGAUACAGGAUUUUUUUUAAAAAAAAAUUUGCUAGUGCUGAAGUGCUCAUCUAAGUCCCAAAUAUCUCGUCCCAAAACACACAAAACAAUCUAAAAUAUCUUGUUUUCCAUUAGGGUUCCUCUCGGACAAGUCAUACAGGUAUGCCACUGGCACAGCCUAAGGCACACGGAUAUGGUAAUUUUUCCAACGCCCCCACCCCUCCCUCCACCGUAGGAGAAAAAGAAGAGGCAUGCAGGACAAAAGGGGCGUCGCUUUCCAAACAAGUAGGAUUACCAUUACCAACUUGCUAGUAAGUAAUUCCUUUUUUGGUGUACAUCAUGAUUUCUGUUGUCCAAGUGCAGGGAAUUUUCUGCAUCUUUUAACAAAUCAAAAUUGGAAAAGCAACUGAUGCUUUCACAUCAAUCAUGCGCGGGUCAAUCGAUGAACUUGCAUUCUUUUCUUUCCUAACUCGUGAGAUUCACAAUCUCAAGCUAACUUGCCACCCUCAAAGAAAGAUUAUAUUUUCCCUAUGGUCCUGCUUUUUUUGGUUUACUUUGUUGGCUUCUAGAUUCGGAUUGGACCAUAAAUGGUGUCUGUCGUUAUAUAAUGUCGGGCCGGGCGGCCACCGCCGCGAAGAACUCCAUAUGCAUUAAUUUUGGCUUGCUUAGCACUCUGGUAGUUUUCUUUGACUGGGAUUUUCGGCUGUUAUAGCUAAUGAAGUGUAAGUUUCAGUCUUUGCUGUAGCUUUCAAGUAUGAAUAUAGAUAGACUUUUGAUAUAACUGGCGUUAAUAUUUACGCGAUUGGGAAUUGGAGUUGUUUCACUCCUCUUGUGCGUUUUUUUAUGCAGCCAUUCCUUUUUUAAAAUAACUGACAGUAUUUAAAGACUCGUGAAAUUAAAUUCCUUUGAUCUUUUGUAGGGUGGAUUACACGGCUAAACCGUUGCACUUUGCUUCAUUUGUUGGGUUGCUUGUAAUUUGUAUGGAAGUAGGGGUUUUUGUAACGUCUGUUUGUUGUUCCCAGAAAAAGGGGGAAAAACAAUCGGAGGGUGGAGUAGUACCAACACCUAGAAACCAGCAGUAGUCUAUAAAGGUAUUAGUUUAUUUCCAACUUGCGAAGGACGGUACAGAAGAAUUUCAUCAAGAAAGUGACAGAGAAGUUACCCAAGAAGAAGACUGAAGAGCAGUAGUCUAUUUGGCACAGGGACACAAGUCAAAUUUGGGUAGCAAAGCCGCGAAUUAUCAGUAUAACGCAGCUAAUGGGGCGGUGGGGGAUCUGCUGCCUUUUUUAGGGGCCAAAAACGUUAUUGCUAUUUUUAAAAGUCCGCGGACUUUGCAAAAAAGUGGCGUUGGAUGACAAUGGGAUCCGACGGUGGGGCAGGGAGCUCUAAAAUCACCCCCAGCCUCCGUGCCCGUGCCCGUGCAGUAUAUUUCUACCCCAAUAUCCUCGUGCGUUGGUCUAAUCGUGGUUGUUUAAUUAUAUUUUUUAUUUUUAAACUUACAAUCAUCAUAUUUAUUUUAUUUUUUUGAUGAAUAACUCACGAUAUGUAAAAUAUUCACAAAAUAAUCAAAAAAUCAUUUUAUCAUACAAAUUAUGAUAUAUAUGUAUAUUCACACACACCCAUUAUUGAUGUGUAAUUAUAAUGUGUAUAUGUAUAAAAUCAUGUAUAGAUAUUUAUUUUUUAAAGUUUAUAUUAGUAAUGGGGGAUGGGAGACGGAGUAGGGGUGUCCUCCCACGUCACCCAUCUCUUCAAGAACAAGGAGAGAAAAAUCCCCCCGCCCCCCGCCUUAUGAGUCCCUCGGGCACUCAUUUCAUUGCCAUCCAUCCCUAUUGAUAUGCUGCUAGUUAAGUAAUGUUUAUUUUGUUGUUUUAAUAGGUAGAUGUCGAGGUAAUACCCAAGUAGAACUAGUUAAUUAGGAUUUGGCUUAAAGAGUGUUAGCUUCAAGUGUUAAUUUUUUGGUAAGAGUGAAACUGAUUUGGGAAAGUAUUCAAACACAGUAGUGACAAUAAAUAUGAGUGUGUAUUCAUAUGGUUUGACAAGUUAGAUAUAAAUUUUAUGUCUUAAUGUAGUGUUAGGAACUUGUUAGAAAAAUAUAAUUAAUUAAACUGGCAUCACGAAUACGGGCACAAAUAUAAAAUUCUAUCAAUCUUUACUUUUUAUCCCGUGAGAUCUAACCUUGCCUGGAAAUUAGUAGAUAAGAAUAACAUGUAGUUAACCUUUUCUCUAAAACUUUCCAGCCAGAAUAUCCUCAAAACUCUCUUUUUAAUCUUUGUUGAAAUAAAUUUUCCCUCUUAGAAUUUUUUAAUGAGAGUUUUUUCUAUUAUAGAUUCUUCUAAGGGUUUUGUUCCCUUGUAAGACUUUCUUUUUAUCUUUUUUUUGUUUUUUUGCUGUAAGCUUUGAGAUUUUUUGGAUACGGUUUCUCAAAAUUGAAUUUGUUAUAUGCAUUAUGUCAUAUCUAAAUUUUUUAGUUAAGGUUGCAAUAGGAUUUUUUUAUUAGAUUUUACUGUCAUUGUCACUGUUAGAUGACAUGCACGAAUCCACAGAGUUACAGUGAAUAUUUUGGAGCUUUAGUGUUCUCUUUGCCUUUAUCAAUUGUUUAGACUUCACCACAUCUUGGAUGUAUAUUUUCUGUCUUGAGUGCAGAUUUAUGAGAACGAAAUUCUGUUUCUUAAAAAAAAAAAAAAAAAAAAAAAAAAAUUACACGCAGCUAAGCAUAGCCAAUAACUUUCAUAUUUUCUCAAUUAAAAACGCUUACUUACUUUCUUUGGGCUAACUUUCCCGUCCGUGUGGUCGUUUUGGGGUGUGAUAACAAGAGUAAGGUGGGUUAACAUCCUUGGGCCAGCCCAAAAUAAAUAUUUUUCGGAGAAGACUGAAGAGUGAUGCUUGCUUUGCUGGUUUGGAGAAAAGACUCAAGAGUAUAGGCUAACGCGGCUCGCUUCGCUCUUCAAGUUCCGUCCCCCUUACUUGACAUCUCUUUCUAUUUAAAGGAAAAAAAAAAGAAGCUCUUUCUCCUUUUAAUAAGAAUAAUAAUAAUAAUAAUAAUGCAAGUUUUUUUUUUUUUUUUUGGGUGGGAAUGAAAGCUGAAUCUUUAUUCAGGAUUGAGAACUUCUGGGUAUGAAUCUUGCCCUUUGGAUCGAUGGGCUUGCCACUGGGUGUUUUACCCCUCGAAUCUGACUUUGUAUUUUUCUUUUUUCAAAGAAAGAAAAGAAAGAACAACACAAAACUUUUUUAAGUAGCAGUAGUAGUUGUUUGUACGAGGGAGUGCUUGGUAACUAAGUGUAGGAUGAAUAUUCAGAACAGAGAGUUUUGCUAACAAAAUUUCGACGUUGCGCAUAGCUUAGUGAUUGGGUUGACAGUCUUUUAACUAUUAUCUGAUACAUACAUUACAUACAUAUACAUUGGGGGAUAAAAAUGAAAGAAAUGUAUCGACCUAAGACUUUAAUUAGUUGCCAAACCUUUUGUGCUUUAAGCCGUACAGUAAUGCCGAAGUACGGGAAGAAGAGGCAGAAAAAAAAAAUUGCAGCUCCAUCAAGACGCCAUUCUACGUUCGCGCCGAUGAUAAUUGUGAGCCGUUGAUCAAGUAAUAGAUAGAUUAAGAAGUCAUGUAACGGAUGCAGAGAUCUGAUUUUGCUAUCAAUUUCUUGGCAUAUAUUGAAGCUUUUGCUUGUUUCACAUGCAUACAACAUACAUUUCCUAAGCCAGGCCAGCUUGAACUCUAUGCUCUCGAUCUGGUAUAAUCAAAAAUCAGAGCGCCACUCCAACAAAUCCUUUUCUCCAUGAAAUUUGGGCCUCUCAACUCCAGCUGAAACCAUUUAAGUCGAACUGCUUGCACCUCGAACCUGCAUCUGCACCGUCAUCUGUGUUUAGAUCGAGCUUAGGUGCAAAGAAGGGCAGUUUAUACUCUUCUGAAGGCCUCUGAGUUUCGGGUGGAAUGGGACCAUAUCUAUUGUGAGGUUGAUCAAAGAAUUUGAUUUCGCUUUCUGCCUCUCUGCCUCUUUUCUCUAAGUAGCUGUGGUGGCUGUUCCAUCUUCCUCCUUGAAGCCCAAUGCUCAUGGACAAGUUGCCAAUGUUUUUCUCAGCAGCACAUGCCUUUUCCGCUUCCUCGUUCAUCGUUGAAACAAGCUUCCUCUUCUCUUUCAUCAGGUCGUCGCACCAUCUACGUUCAGCAUGCUGCAGGCUGGCCUCAUUGUUCAUGUUAUUGAACUCCAUAUCUGUUCUCAGAUUUAACGGUCUUAACAUCAUUUGAUUGUUGUGCAUCUCUUGAUCCCUCAGGGAACCUUCACAUGAGGUCAAGCAGCUGUCCAUCGAGCAAUCUGUUGGCUGGGGCGUUUGAGUUUGCUGGGGGCAUGAUCCAGGCAGUUCUUUCAUAUCUGAAAAUGCUGAAUUCAGGCACUGGUCGGACAUUUUACUGACGAGUUCAGAUAAUUGAACCUUGGCAGCCUCUAAACCCACGGAUCCCAAGUUUUGUCUGCCAAGUGUUUCCUGUGCUUUCUCCAGCACCGCCUGUAAAUAUUUUCCUUGAGCCUCUAUCCUGAGCUGUAAGUGUCGUUGAACCUAUAUCAGUUCAGAGGGGACAUACUUAUAAUGCUGUCAAAAAAGAUUCUUCAUUAUGCAACUGCAAACUAUAUCAAAAGAAAUCAUGUCCAUUUUGGGGUUGCAUAUUUGAUCGUUAUUUCUAGAAAAGCUAAAAGUUUUAGACUGUAUCCAUUUAAUUGGUAUGUUCGGACUUCCUGAAACCAUCAGAUUAAUUUCAAUCAUGAUGUUCAUAAACUAUUAGCUUCCAGAAUUAUGUAAACUGGUGAGGUGUUUGUUCUUUUGUGAAUGAAAUGCUGGUAGCUGCACCAAAAAAAAAAAAAAAGGAAAAAGGAAAAAAAAAGCCGAUUUUCUUUACUUCUGGUUGUUUUAGGCUAUAUUUCCCCUAAUGUUUUUUUCAUGACUAGUAUGUAAAAAGUGUUUCGAUGGCUGAAUGUCUUGUAAGACAUUGGGAGAUGUGCUAUUAGUGACACUGUUUUGCCAGCGGUUGGAGCUGGAAAAAGUUGUUAGGCUAUUGCAUAAUAACUUCGUAAUUUGAGGGCAUCAAGGGAUUGACGUGGCUAGGACUAUUUGGAAAUGAUGUGAUUCAUGCAUCGUUGGUCAUGAUAUGAGAACUGUAACUGUGGUUACUCUGAGGAAAAGAAACAUGAUCAUUCUUACCUCAAGUUGUUCAUGCAGCCUUCUCUGCACUUCAAUUUGCAUCUGUAUUGCUUCGCCUAUGUGCAAGUUUCUGUAUUAACGAUUCAUAAUCAGAACACCUUAACAUUCUAUACUCUGGAAGUAAAAGAACAUGCAAUGGAUUUUUCUUACUUAUUCGCCUGAGAUCCAAUGCUUGGGUUAAUUAUGCUUGCUGCAUUUGUCUCAGGUAUCCUAUCUCCUGCUGCUGCAAGCAUUUUUUCGCCAAAUUACAUUUUACAUUCAACAAGUGGUUUCAUAGUAAAAUACUUUCAGGAGAAUUUUUUAGCAGCUUACCGGCUUUAUUGGUUCCACAAUUAGCUUGCCCAUGGAGAUUCUUGCUCAGUCUAUAUUUCUGCCAGCAGAAUGUGGAAGUUAGCAAAGAUUUUGCCACCAUGAAAUUACAAAAGUCACCUAGAACCCUACAACCUCAUGUGUUUCAAAAUUACAAAAUUGUGGUAAUAACUUUAAAAAGGACUGGAUGUUCCAUUAAAGCUCAGUUCCUGGUAAAGGUUUUCACAAACGAAAAAUGAGGUAUCCGCAGUAUGUUCUUUGGCUUGUACAAUGUGUACUAAUUGGUAUUCCAUGAAGUCUAUGUACUUAAGAUUUAUAGCGCUUAAUGCAAUCUAUCGACUCAAAAUGUUAAAUUAGAUAGGAAAAGGUAAUAUCUGACGGGUAGCAAAUAACAGGAGGUCUAAUUUGUUGGAUACUAUUUUCAAACAAUGUAUUUGAUAUGUAUUAGUAUCACGCAAGCAUUGAUCAUCUCAUUACCUGUAGAUGACUCUUUAAAUGAUACAAGGUUAGGCCUUGAAUUCCCAUUAGUUUCAGAACUGAUUUUGGAGUUGCUUCUGCAACAAAAAGAAUAAACCAUAUUAGCUGGUUGAACAUGGUCUAGUUUCAAGCUGCUUGAACUUUAGAUGUUGCUUGCCCUUACUGUCUGCUCCUCCAAGUUGAUUAACUGCUUCUAUGAAUCGCUCAUGAAGGUCUGGAGUCCACUUUAGUCUUGGCUUAGCAUCAGUUGAAAGAACAAGUCCCGAAUCUCCAGGACCAUUCCCACCUUGCAGGAACAGAUGUCUUUCGGGAGGAAUAGGCAUUCUUGAGGAAGAGUGGAUGUUUUUUCCUUGUUGGUGGUGAUGAUACAUCUCCUUAUAUCUUGUCUUCAAGGUGAUAAUUUACCAUCAGCUUCUUUUCUAAGAAUAUAAAGGAAAUCAGCUCUUUCUAUGAAAACUUGUAAGUUUACCUGAAAACUUCUAUGUUGCUUGGCCCAAUCUGCUCCGACACUUGAAAUAUGAAUUAUGAUUCUGUCCUAUACGGUACAAUAUUAACUUUAACCGCUGAAACUUGGUAAAGGGAGCUGUCUAAUACAGCUCUUAUCAAUCUAUUUUUUUCUUUGACCAUUUCUCACAGACAAACGAUGUGUUUGAGGUCUCCUUAUAAGCAAACGAGGAAUGAGAGAGGUAGGAAGGGGUUUCAAGUGAGGCACAGAAUCUUUGGUAGGGCCAUCUAAAUGCUGGACCCAGUCCAAUCUCCCGAGUGACUGAAAAAGAAAUCUUGCCCUUCCAGAUCUCUGCAUUCGUGGGUCCAUUCAUGCAACUCCUCCUGUUCAUAGACAGCAGCACUGCCAUUUUAUAUUCCUACGUACCACAACUUGACAGAACUCUUUACACCUUCCAAUAGGUACAAGAAUAGAUCCACCACACUAGUUUUUUACUGUUAAUUCAUAUUCCUUCAGGCAAAGUUUGGGAACCUUAUUCUCAGAACUAAUAGUCGAAUUUUAUUUGAUAUUGACUGGAGGAAUCCACUAUCUAUGAUGUCCUGAGAGCUUCAAAACCAUCUUCUCGUUUCUUAUGGAAGAUUCUGUUGACUAGAGCAUCUAGAACUUUGCAUUAGACACAUAAAAAAAAAGAAAAGAAAAAGUUAAGAGAUGCUUCUCCUCGGGAGUGUUUGAGGACAGUAUCGGAAUAAGUCAAGAUUCCGUUUUGUGUAGUUUUAGCUCGUCUCCACAGCUACCGCGGGUUCAAUUAGAUGAUCGUGCAAUACUCUAGGAGAUAUAGGCGUUGGCUGGUAUUAAAGGAGAUCUUUUUGCUAUGUGCUCAGACUCGAUGUCAAAUCAAGUUUAUUCUGUUUAAAAUGUUCUUUUCUUGUACUUAAACCACCUCCUGAACCUUCCUUAGUCCUUUUGCCGCUGAAGACAACUACCUGCAAUCUGCUGCAGCAUGAGCCAUCUUGUUUUCAUGUUGAUUGAAUCUGUGCUCUGCAAGGACUUCUGCAACGAUCAUGCACAGGAGUAUGUUCGGACUUGCAAUUGCAGUCCUCAUCCGCAGGACAUACAUCUCGGUUAAAAUUCUGAAAAUUCCGGUGUUUUUAAUAUCCUUUCAUCUAUGUGCGCCCUUGAAAUAUUUGAAUUUGGGUAAUUGCAUGAGAUAGGAAAAUAGUGGAGAGAUUCCUCCCUUUCACUUUGUUGGAAUGCCAGGAAUGGAACCAAGGAACACAUUCCAUUUUGUCACCUUCGGUAAGUUUGGUACUUAUUCAGCCUAGACAGAAUUAAAAUAAAGAGAAGGGUCCAGUGAAACUUUUUCCGCAGUUCAAACGGUACAUGACUGCUGGCCCCGAGCCAUUGGGUCCCCUUAGUAGGAAAAAUGAAGUACAGUACUUUCUUCUACGCUGCAUUUGAUGGAAAACAUGACAAGUCACAGCCGAUCGAUAGGCGAUCAGAUCAGUUGCUUGGUUUGUCCUUGACUUGGGUUUUAACUCGCGUUGCAGAUACUCCAGCAUGAAUCUCCAUAUAAUUCUCUCAUUACAGGAUUAGCUUUUACGUUCUUUUCUGAUGAUAGUGGAAUUUUAUGAAAUGCCAAUGUGGCAGCUUGUGCCGAACAAUUGGAUUUUAUAUAUGUACGUAGGGGUUGAAUUGGCAACCCGAAGAUCUCUUGACUACCAUGCAAAUAAACCAGCACGAAUGAAAUGUAGGCAUGGAUCGGAUCUCGUUUCGUGCCAACAUAACAUCCAAUGCAUUAAACUUUGUCUCUGUUUCUCGUCUUCUUGUGGAAGAAUUAAUGGAUCGCUGAAAGUCUUCAUGCAUCUGAUUUGUUUGUGCGUACGUGGUUGAUGAUUGAAUCAAAGUCUUCAUGCUGUGUUGUCUGUGCUAUGCGUAUAAAUUAAUCUUCCAUUACGUGAUGUCCAACAUAAAGAAUAAAAUCAGCUUCUUAUAUAUCGAGAAAUUUUAAAGUACAAUAAUAAAUAAACCUGCAUUACUGCAGAAUAAGUUGGCGUAGCAGCAUGCAAGAGGAUCAAGUACGCCAACAUCUUGCCUAAUUCAAAUAAUUUACAAAUAAACCUGGUGAUCAGAGUGAGGAAUGCUGUCAAAUGCAAACAAACACAUUUAAAAACAAAAAAAAAAAACUUGCUGGUGCCUCAAACGAACGCUUGAGUUGAGAUCACUGAAAUUUAUCAAUACUUUCCUGUAGGCUUUACUUUACUGUCAAGCCGAUGCAAACACAAGCAAAGUGCCUCUCCCUCUGUUAAUAUCUUCACGUCAGUUCCAACUGAACUUUUAGGGAAAGAUCAAAUGAUUCUGAUAUGUUAGGAUAUUUUAUGCAGUUUGGGAGAAUCUAUAGAAGCCUUUACGUAAAGUUUGAAAAGCAAUAUUCCUCAUUAGUUUUGCUGGCAUGUGGAAUUGUGGAUAGGAAUGAAUUGCAGAUGGAAAACGAUUCGUUGCGCUCUAGAUUUAAUUUCUGAUUUUUUUUAAAAAAAAAAAAAUUAAGAAGAGGGGUAUUAAUUACUUAAUUUUUCUGCUGUGAUGGAGAGUAGGAUUUUCAAACCAAGUUACUUCUCUUUCCACAUUCCAAUAUCUUUCUUCAUAUUUGGUGUUAAAUCCAAUUUUAACCUAGAAUGACUAAGCAUUUAUCUAUAUAUAACCAUUGAUAUUAAAAUUUUUCUGUUAUAUUAUUAUUUCUUAUUCCAGUUUUAUUUUACCCUAAAAUAAGCAAGCAAGGAAUAUAUAUAUAUAUUUUAUAUAUAACCAGCAUAAACAAAUUAAGAAUACUUAGUCAAUUUCAACAACUUCCUAUAACUUCUCUUAUUGUGACUUUGACCGUAAUUUGAUGAGGGAUAAAAUGUCAUAAAACACAUGAUUGAGCGCCAUCAUCUGAUUUGCUGCAAAAAUGAACUGCUCUUUAAGAAUGUAAUUGUUUUACUCGUAUAAUUUUUUUUAGGGACUAAAACCAAACCAGCCAUUAAGUUGAUUACAGAGACGGAUGUAACUUUCACAUCAUGUUAUCAAGUCUUUGUGCAGGACCCAAUCAUCUUUCCAGUAAUGGUAAUGGUACAUGAAAAGUACUUACCUUUCCUUGAUGUGGCCGCAAAGCCAUGUUUGUGUUUAGUUGGUAGUAGUAUUUUUUGCGUACGGUUGGGACUGGGAGAGCAUUUUUAUUACUCCCUAGCUUUUUAAUUACCGCCGCCCCUGCAACCCAACCCAACUUCUUCCUCCUCAAAUGUAAACGCUGUUUUCCCUUCGUAUGUGAUGUGGUGAAUGAUAUGGUCAGAUUCUCCACUUUAGAACAGAAGGAAGGAAGAAAAAAAAAAAAUUAUAGGAAGUGGUAGGGCAGACUACUCAGUUGUUCCUUGGUGUACUUUGCCUUUUGCCCAUUUUGGGGUCUCAGUGUUAAUGUGAAGUUUUGCUGCAAAGGAUGAAGCCCUCGAGGGAAGAAAGGAACACAAAGCAAAGCAUAGCAUUUUUUUUAAGAAUCAGUACGUAGUUUUAUGAGUUACUACUACUAGUCAAUCAUUAAUGGAAGCACUUGAUUGACAAUCAUAAUAAAAUUUCGAGCUGAGGUCUAUUGAACAGCCCACCCCACUCCACCCCCACACGUGAUAAGAUUGGCUAAGGAAAUUCACAAAAAAGGAUAGAAAUGACCACGGAAUGUUAUUCCUUGUGGAAAAAUGCAGAGGGCAGCCGGAAAAAGUUGAGAUUCUGAGGAAUGGAACUUGGGAAUCUUAACUCAAACUAAAGCCAAUGGGUCGUAUUCUCAAGUCAAGAAUUUUGUUAUUCUUUUCCGCUUAAGGCCACAAAAAAUGGGUUCCCACAUACAAUUCUUUAUCCCCAAUCUUAACACACUUAAGAUGCUUUUCAACAUGCAUAAUCUUUGUUUUUGUCCUGGUAAGUAGCGUCGUUUUUGUCAAACAGCUCCGAUUCUUGAUGCUUAAUUUGUGCUUUGCCAAUGUUAGUUGCACACUACUGGAAUCGUUUUGAUCUUUGAUCAAUCAGUGCCAUUUAAGGGUUGCAAGAAUUACUACCCUUUUGUGUACAGUGAUAUCUAACACAUGCAAUGAUUGGUCCAGAAGGGGACAAAGAAUAAAAAGAAGGGCUGCAUUAAACGUUAACGGAGGAGUUUUCUAACGACAGCUCUUGUUAAGACGUCUAUAAUUAACUUAUCACACCAAUGCACCUACUCAUAUUUAUUAUUGCUUCCUUUACAUUCAUUCAUUCAGACGCUUUCCCAAAUUAACUUUUAAUAUUCUAAAAAAGUUGACACUCAAAAACUAUUUCAAACGAAUGCUUAGAGAAGGCACUUGUUUGCCAAACCAAAGUUAAUAAGUAGUAACAUUUUUGUUUGCAUUGCAAUUUUUUUGCAUAAAAAUUUUUACGUUUUUCGUUCACACAUUUCCAUAUGAUUUUUUUUUAAGCCUCACGUACAUUAAAUCAUUACAGGACAACUUUUUUUUAUUUUAUAAAAGCUCUUGAAAAUAGCAGUUCAAACGAGACUGCAGACUGACUAGGGCAGGUAUUGUGGUCGGGAGGGUUCUAGUCUAAACAAUUUCAAGCAUAUCUUUACUGAUAUUUAAGUUGAUGGUUACAUGUUAACUAUGCAUUAAUGUCUUAAACUACGAAAGCAUGUACGUUCUUUUAGUGAAAAUUAAGCAUUGAGAGGACUUCGAACUUUAUUCCGUUUUAAGCACCCCCAAUCCAUCCACUGACGACAUGCCAAUUAGAUCAGCAGGAGAAGUUCCUCUAGGGCGAUAAUCACUGUUGAUUGACAAAUUGCAAUCCAAUGAGCGCUGUUAAUUAUUAAACCAUUAUAACCAACUCAAUCAAUCUGGCUAUACCAACACAGCCUCUGAGGAGAAAAAUGUAAUUUGAUUACACAUCAACGGGAGGAAGGAAUGACUCCCGAAUCCUACACCAUUGCAUGACUAAAGACUCUUUUUACUGCUAAAUCAAAACCUGGAUUAAAGCUAGUACUAAAGUUGUACUUGAAAAGUGAAGUGAAUGUCACAGUCCACUUUCUGAGACUGUGUGAUAGCCCAAGCCACACCAUUCAAUUCACGUUCUUUCUGGGCUAUAGGCCCAAUCCGCUUCCUCAUACUAGGCCUUCUGGUGCAACUCCAUCUUGAGAAUGCGUGAUGACUUGCUAGCCAAGGGACCACGCCUUUAUCCUACAUUUCCCAUUUUCACGCCUUCGAAGUUCAACCAGAUUACCUCAAAAAAAAAAAAAAAAGAGUUCAAACUAUUCUUUGCCACAAGAAGAUUCAGUAGCAUCUUAUUCCAGCUCCGGAUUUUUUCGGCUUCCUCUUCGUGCCGGAGAAAAAGACAUGGCCGGAAUCCUCAGCUCUACAACAACUCCAAUUUUCGGGCCAUUCUUAGGCAGCAAAACAUUUUCAACCAAAAGACCUUUUCACGUAAAAUUAUCUGCUCAAUCUUCAGAAACGCCUAUUGCUGCAUCCACUUCUGUGAGCACCAAAGAAGAACCCUCCACAAGUUCAGGGCCUUCAUUUUCACCGCCACCGAAUUUCAGGCCUCCGCAACCGAAGCCCUUUUCUGUGAGACCCGAUAAGAAUUUGGACAUCCUAGGGGGUUCCCUUGCCUUAAUUUUUCGCCUUGGUACUGGUGUUUUUGUUUCCGGGUAAGUGCUACAUAUCACAACCUUUUCAAUUCCUUCCAUAGAUAUAUGUUUUUUUUCUCCUCAUGUUGUUGUGCUUCAUGCAUAUCGCAUGUGUUCGACCUUUAGCUAAAGAUAGAUUUUGAUUGGGGUUUAGAUGUGGGUUUUGGUGCCUUGAUCUUUACUCUCAGGACAUAAUGGCAGGAAAUUUUGUUGAAUUCCAGCUGCAUAACUUUACGCAAUAGGUUGCUUUAGUCAAAUUUACUACUUCUUGUUUAGUGGUUAGCUCAAGGACAUCUUUUGCAGACGUGCAAUUUCUCAUAGUUAAUGGGGAUUAUUUGCCCUUGUAAUGUUGCAGCAGGAAGCACAAGUAGAGGAAACCUAUGAAUUUUUUUUUUUUUUUUUAUGAGAAGCAGACUUGUUUACCGUCAGGCAUCCCUCGUUUUAGUAGUUUCAUUGCGUCUGCUGCAGUGUUUAUGGUCAUGCCCUUGCCUUUGCCUAUUAAAAUGUUACGUACGGUAAAUGCAGGUUGAUUAUGUGAACCUGUCAUUUCGUUCUUUUUUUGCAUACAUAAUUACAUAUAUAACUUAAACUAAUGAACUUCUGAGACUAAAUAACAUUUCCUGAGAUUUCUCUAGUCUUUUAAUAUGACAUAGACCAUAAACAGAAAAUUUUAUGAAAUUGACCAAUAAUUGUGGUUUACCAUAAAAUCGAGCCUGAAAUUUAGAUAAAGAAAAACAGAUAGAAUUGAAGAAAAUAAAGUCAAUUGGCAAUUGAUUACUGGCAGUUGGAUGUCCGGUGAGUAUACGACUUAACAAGUUCAAAACAUGAUACUGCGUCUGAUCUUAAACUUGCAUAUGAUAAACUAUAUCUAGGAAAUUUAUACUGACAAAGGAGAGAAAAGAGUACAAAAAGGGAUAAGGAUGGUUUAGAUUGAUUUAUGGCCUAAAUGGGUUGAUUUAUGAUCCUAUGGGUGAACUCUUUACCUUACCUAAUCUAUUGUAAGUUCUAGUCUACAUACCUAAUUCCUAUCAUAUUGGACAGACCAGCUGCUAGGUGUUUUCUGAAAAUUUUCAUCUUAUAUUGACACAGUUUGUUUAUAGCCUUUGACGCCAAAAAAAUUUGCAAAUAUCCUGGGUGUCCUCAAAUGUAAGUGCAUCUAUCUCAGGUUCUCAUUUGCUUGUUCGUGCUUAAUGACAGGUACUCGGCAUCUUUUGUGCCAAAGAAUGAGAUUCCACCUAACCAGUAUGCUCUUGAAAUUGCUGGUAGUCAUCAAGUUCCUUCUGAACUUUGCAGGGUUUUUCUUUAUUUUCAAAAUGAAAGCGUUAAGGUCAACCUUAUGUUAACAGGUUUCAAGGUGAAAGAGACUUCAAAGUUAGGUCCACGCCCUGAAAGGCCCAUUGAGAUAUAUGAAUUUGAAAGGUAUCUAGUUUUAAAGAUAUGCAUACAGAUGUACAACACACACACACACACACACACAAAGCCCACAAGCACGCUCAUCCAUUUCACUAUUUUACAGUUAGAGGUAUGCAAUUCUUUGAGUGCCUCAAAUGAUUAACCCACAACUUUUUUCUUCAAUUCUUCAAUAACUGAAUAUUUCAAGACUAAUGCAUUUUUUGCUCUUCCAAAUGUGCGUGACAAUCGACUGCAUGGAAAUUUGUUCCAGCUGCCCCUUCUGUCGAAAGGUAACCACCUCUGUUUGAGAUUCAUUCUUCUUUCUUUUCAGCAAAAUAGUGUGAUAAUACAAACACGAAUUUUUGUUGUACAAAAUUUGUUUGCUCCCCAGGGAAGAAAAAUUCUCUUUGGACUAGACAUUUGAUCACUUUUUUGGAUCAUUUAUGAGAUCUAGAUUUGUGUGGCAUUUACCUAUGUUGUAUUUCAUUUUUCAGUAAAAAUCUGGUGCUAUGGACAUAACCUUUUUGCAGUUAGUCUUUGUAGUGUUAGGCAGCUUAAUGAGCAAUUGAUAGUUUAGCAUGAAACUUGUCUCUGGUUUUCAUUUGGGAGGUUGAACAACCAUACGUUCUAACAUAUAAGCAAUUCCAUAGGUAUUGUACAUGUCAUGUGGGCAUUUCUUUCUCCAUACAUGUUAGCCUAUGAUUUUAAACAUAUGGCAGGUACGGGAAAUUGUCGCAAUUCUGGAUCUUGAUGUUCUAUACUACCCUUGUCCAAAGAAUGGUCCAAAUUUUCGUCCCAAGGUUGUUGAAAUGGGUGGAAAACGACAGUUCCCCUACAUGGUUAGAUUUGAAUUUCCUUUUUCCUUUCCUUUCUAUUGUUUCAAUAAAUUCUGAAGAGUCCCGUGUUUUUUGUUUCUUUUCAGAAGAGAUUCUCAUACUAUCUUUAUAACACUUCAUUUACUUAUUUAAGCUACUAAUGCUAAUUCACCUUUAUAAAACUUGGAUAUCAUUUUUAUGAUGGUAAAUUCAUGGUUAUUUGUACUUCAAUUGAUUCAUUUAGGCAAAAUAUGUUCUUCUAGAUGGAUGUGUCCUUUAUCCUUGAACUGACUGCUGAGAAUUGGAAAUUUUCAACUUUAUACUCUUUGUUGCGAAAGGCAAAGUACAUGUAAAAUCUUGUUAGCUAUGGUGCUUACUUAUCAAGUUCUGCUGCCUACAUCCAUGAGCCUUUUGCCUUUUUCCUGUGUUCUUUAGUUUUCUGUUAAGAAGAAUUUGACACGUGGAAGUUAAUUGUUCUUUAUUCCUUCCAAUGCAGGUUGAUCCAAAUACUGGGGUCGCUAUGUAUGAGUCGGAUGAAAUAAUUAAGUACCUGGUUGGGAAGUAUGGUACACCAUUUUGAUAAGUUUGAUUCUCGAUUUAUUCUUGUAUUCCGCUUUUUUUUUUUGGGUAUAUUACUAAGUUUUUCACUUUUGUAAUAGAUAAUGAUGCUCUUACAUUCCUUUGUUCUGAAAAACUCUAGAAUUCUGCUCUUACAGUCCUUUGUUCUAAAAACUCUAAAAAGUCUUUGUAUAUGCCUUUUUUUAGAGCUUAAAGAGAGUUUCCCAACAAGAUUUUUGGAGUUCAAACUUGAUUUUGUUCUGUGGCUUCCAUAAUGUGUCUAGCAAGUGUAGAACUGUCUCUGCAAGACAAUUAACCUACUUUUUAUCCCGUCAUCCCUUUUACUCUUUCCAGUUUGUAUACCUUUUAUAUUGACUGUAUUUAUAUGUUUCAUUGCAGGUGAUGGAAAUGUCCCUAUUAUGUUGUCUCUUGGUCUAUUAACAGUAAGCAAUUCUUAAGCCCUAACUACACUAGUUAGCAGAGGACAUGGAGUAAUUUGUGUUGCUUGCUGACUGUUUCUCUUUGUAGACUCUUACUGAAGGUUUUGCCAUGAUUGGUCGCAUGGGUAAGGUAUGGUAUGCUACUCUUUCUCUGUAGAUGUUCGAGAGAGAGAGAGAGAGAGAGUGUGUGUGUGGGUAUUUGUCUGCCAUGUAAUCAUGCAUGCCCUGUUGAAUGUAACAAAAAGUCUGUCAUCCCAUUUCACUUCAUUUAUGCUGUUAUUUAGACUGAUGGAUUCUCUUGUAACAUUUUCAGGGUUCUUCCUAUACGCCAUCAAAAAUGCCACUGAAUCCCCUUGAGAUAUGGGCAUAUGAGGUGAGAAUCUGCUGACCUGAAGGAUAUAUGACACCUUUCUUAGAGAGGAUAAGGCAAAAGUCAUGCUUAGUGGACACCUAUAAAUUUAGGUCCUUUAUUUCCAUGUGUCAGCGUGAUAUGUCAUAAUGUAUUAAUGUAUCCGUCUUUUAUUGUAGGCUUCUCCAUUUUGUAAAGUUGUUCGAGAAAUACUUGUGGAGUUAGAGCUACCUCACAUACUUCGUAGGUAAUGUCCUUAUGUGUUUUUCAUGAUCAACACAAUUACAAAUAAUUUUGAAAAGCUUCAUUGCUGAUCACAAAUCACUCCAAGAAUAGACAUUAUUGUUCUUAAUAUGGUUGAUUAAAUUGACUGGUUCAUUGACAAUAAAAUAUAUUCUCAUGGAGAUGAUGGAGAGCCUUGGAAAGCCGUGUAUGCUCGAUUUGCUUGGAACCAUGUAGAUGACCUCUGAAUAUGUUGCUAUAAUGCAGCAUACAUCCAAUCAAACUGUUUUGCUUCUCAUCUCAUGUGGUUAAAGUUUCUUUUUUUUUUUUUAUGUGUAGAUUAAAAGCAUGAACGCUGAAAAGUUAAAGGAUCCAAUAAGCCCAAAGUUAGCCAAGGAGGCCUUGGUCUAGUGGCUAAGGUUGAGGCUCUAGGAAUUAGAGGUCCUAGAUUCAAAUUCCUUUCCCCACCCCCCCUUCUAUUUCUGAAAUCCCGCGCCUCCCUUGCAAAAAAAAAAUUUUUUUAAAAAAAGUGAUGCACAUUUUACUUCUUUAAUUAGCAUUAAUUGUAUUUAGGCUAUACCUUUUUUUUUUCAAUUUUUUUGGCCUAGCAGGGGAAGGUGGGAUUUAAGAAGCGAAGAGGAGGUGGGGGUGGGGCUUUUUUUUUUGGGGGGGGGGGGGGGAGUGAAGCAUUUAGCCAUUUCUCUAGUUCUUAAGUUAGAUUCCAUAUUACCUACUUGAUGUACUGAAACAGAACAAUUUCUUGCUAAUCCUGAUUACAAGAUUUAUGCUGCAGUUGUGCCCGUGGAAGUCCAAAACGACAGGUGCUGUAUGAGAAAGCAGGACAUUUUCAGGUCAUAAUAUUUGAUACCCUGAUUUAGUCCCAUCUAUCAAUUGUUUGUAAGCAAGAUCACUCAUGCUGCAUGCUUGCAGGCUCCCUACCUCGAAGAUCCAAAUACUGGGGUGCAAAUGUUUGAGAGUGCUGAAAUUGUAGAAUACCUAAAGGCAACUUAUGCUCUUUGAGAAGAAUAGAAAGUCAACUGCUUUUGAGGUUUUUCUUUUCUGAUGCUUCUUUAAAUAUCUUAAAUUUUAAAAUACUUUUGUCUAAAUCUUUUCUUGCGUGGCUGAUAUUUGAAGCACUGCAGUUUUGGGAGAUCGACAUACAGGAAAUAUUGGCGGUUGCUGAGAGUGAAUUGUUUGAGGGGAACAAACGCCUUAAGCAAUAUUCUUGUGCUUCCUUGGAGGUUUGUCCUAUCUAUUGAUGCUGUAUAUACGUGUUACCUGUAUACUAUUUCAUUUUGGAAGUACAACGAGCAUAAAAACUGCUCCUUGUUUUUGGGGGUCAAUGAUGUAACAUAAGAAAACAAAAACAAUAGGUAGGAUAAAUAUGUACUUGAUUAAAGAUGAUUACCCUGAUAAAGGUGCAAAACUGUGUAGUAUAAAUGGCAAAUGGGCAUAGAGAGGGUUCAUUGCCACUAUUAUGUUGUUAGCUAACAUAUAUGGAAAUUGUAUCUUUGCACUGUUUAGAGAUUUUCAAGUUUAUGGUUCAAGUGUCCAAUGUUGCUUUUACUUUAUUAGGAAAAAUGUUCUCUCCUUGACAAUGAGGAAAAAAAUCUGACAAGAAUAAACUUCCUCUCCCCUGCCUUCUCUCCCUUCUCUCAUGUUGGUUGGGUUUUAUGGGGUUUCUCAAAUAGCCUGGCCUGAUCCAAGGACUUGAAUUUAGUUGUCAAAUGAAUAAUCUUUUCUGUUAUCACAAGGAUAAGGGCAGAAAAGAUUCUAUUCAUUUCUGGUGUUUUAAUUACUUUUUGUUUGUUAUUCUUUUCAUUUAUUCCUUAUUAGGGAUUACAUCCAAACCAUUUACAGAGACCCACAUAUCAUGUAAUGGCUUAGAAAAGGUCUUUUCCUUCUAGACAAUGUAACCAGUAUUUCUUUUGAGCAUGGUUUGAUGUAAAGUAUUGGUUGGUGCUGAUGUUGUAACCUUCUCGUUGCUAUCUGUAUGAAGCUGUCUAGUAGGUAUCUUCUUUCAGAGUUCGUUUUUCAAGAAUCCAUUCAACUUAAAUUCUUGAGAAUCUCUCUCUCCCCACCCCCCGCCUCUCCUUCUCUCUCCUAGUCCCACCUCCCUCUCCUACUCUGCCCAUUGUAGUCAUUGAAAAGCUUUUCAUUCUAGCCAUUUUAUGUGGAAGUUUAAAAGUAUGGAUAGCAAUAGCAUGUUCUUCAAUUCUCUCACGAUUCUUAAAGGCCAUCUCCCACCCACAAACUUCUCAUCUUUUUAAAUGGUGAAAUACCUUUUGAAGAUUCUGAAAACGACGUGGCAGAGAAGGCAAUUACUUUCUUGAAAUCGUUGUCAAAGGCCAUUUUCUACACUUCUAGUGAGGCAGUUUGCUUUUUGCAUAUCCUUCUGGUCCAGAAAUGUAUCGUACUAUGAUGCUACAGGAGUCGACUUUUAUGCAUGGAUAUACUUAAAAAUUUUGAGGUUGUCUGUCUCUUGCUUAGGAGUGCAAUUGAUACUACUUGAACUCGGCUUGAGUUAAAAAGCUUGGGCCUGAACUUGUUGAGCAAGUGAAAGUUGAGCUGGAGUUCGAGUUCGAUUUUAUUAUGCCUUACUUGAGUUCGAUCUUGAUCAAAUCGAGCCCAAUCGAGUAAGGGAUAAGAUAAACAUUUCACACUCAUAUGUGUGUGUGUGAAGUUCGAUUGAGUUCGAUUAAGCUUGAUGAGCUUUGAAGCUUCACAUCUUAGACCUAAGCACAAGCUUGUCGAGCAGUUCGAGUUCUUCGAACUCGGUCAACGCAAGCUAGAGCUCAAGCUAUGACCGAAGAAGGUUGGGAAUCAUACAAUUGAGUUCAACUCAUUUGCACCCUUACUCUUGCUGAUUGGGAGAACCUUUGAAGAAUCUUGACCCCUCCAUAAAAUAAUCUUGAACGUCACGUGCUACACUAUCCAUUAUCUUGUGGCUGUGGUGGUGGUGGUGGUGGACCUUGAUGUUUUUCAUUGUUUGGCCUUCCCAUUUUGGUGAUCUUCCUGGGAGUGGUGGUUUGAGAUAAGAGCUAGGAAGCGCCCCUGUUCCAUUCCGCCAAUUGUUUGCGAUGACCUUAAUCUGAGAUUGGAAAUGGGUACCAUGAUAUUGCGACUCGAUAAUCGUAUUGGGUGAGGACUGAGGAUGCUUUGUGCGGCCUUUCAAACUUCAACUGAAUACUGUGGUGGGAUUUUGCAUAAUUUUUUGGGUAAAAAGGAAUGGUACUUCGAUCAUGGCACUUGCUCCACUACUUUUUGAAAGUAUUGGCAUGUUGUAUGGUGUGAAUAAUAGAUUAGAUUCUGCUACUGUGGGCUUCGACAAUCUAUGCGGUCACGAUGGCUUCUGCAAAAGUGGCAACAGAUUGCCGCUGCUCCUCCUCCUUGUUAGGCCUUUCUAUUGUGCCAUAAGAAUCUGAAGAGAAGCACACGACAAAACAAGUUCUAUCGUUAUGAUAACAUCUUCUCAAUGGCGAGAUUCCCUGUGAUGUUGUCUUGUAAGGUGGUAAUUAUAAUCUAGGUCAAGUAGAAAUGGUAGUGAAGCUGGAAUUCAAUCCAAACGUACCCCGGCUGAUUUACGCUUACUAAUCGCCGUUGCCAAUUGACCUUCGGGCUCAAUGGGCAGUUAACAAGCUGUGGUAGAACGGCCGAACUGUUGAUGAUUGGAAGUGGCUCUUGUUGAAAAGUGUGGUGCAUUGCAUUGAUGAUACCAUAACCCUUCUCUGUCGCAAUAAAACCCAACGCUGGGCUCUGCUGCAGACUGCAUCAUGAACCGCGAUGGCUAAGCAUAGACGUUGACCUGUUGUUAACUGCAAUGGCGUGCGAUGAUAAUUAACGACGUCUAUCAACCAACAUAAUUGAUCUUUGCUCCCAUAGGCAAAGACGUCGAAGACAGGUAAUUAUUUACAGACAGAUCGGAUUGGAAAGAGAAAUAAAGAAAUAAGGUCUGCUCUCCUUCUUCACUCCCGAUAGGCCUAAGCCUAAUAGAAUAAGAGUAAGCCACACCUUCCUUUCUUUGCCUUACUCUCUAUUGGAAAAGUUACAAAUGUCAUCUAAUCUAAUCUAUGAUGUCAAUGAAAAAGAAAUUGCAUUCUUACCUAUAAUAUACUUGUACGCAUUUCAUCUGUGAAGAUGUUCAGCCCCCAGAAAAUGACAAAUACUUGAGUAGUAAGUAACUUGUAUAUAUCCCAUGUUACUUAGCUGCGUGCGUGCUACUUUGCCGCCGUGUAUCCUUAGGGCAAGGUUUUACAUAGGUUUAGGAGAUUAGUUUGGUCAAAAAGUUGAAAUACCCCUUAUUGAAUAUAUAUGUAUAUAUAUAUAUAUAUCCCAUGUCACCAUGUACCCAAAAAAAAAAAAAAAGGUACUGCUGUUAGGAAGGCCUGUAGGCGUUUAGAUUAGUGUGGACCGGAUUAGAGUCGGACACAACAUAUACCACAACAUCAUAUGGUACUAGUAAAUAGUAGUAAUAAGUCUCAUGCAGCACCACGUCAUCCCUCUCUCUUCAGCCAGUCUUCCCAUUCUCACUCCUCUGUCACUCACUUUCUCACACAAAGCAAAAAUGGUGGAGUACGCAAAAAUGGCUACUCUAUUUUCCGUUUCCCAUUUUACCCCCAUCACAUUCCUCUACUUCCUCCUCCUCCUCCUCUCCAUGUCCCAUAAACCCAUUUUCUCCAGAUGAAAAAGUAGGCCAUAAUCAGAAUUCAAAAGCACCUCAAGACCUACUUCUGAUUUUCAGCCUUUUUUGGACCCAAAUAAAAUUUAAGUUUUUAAAAUCAGUCAACAAAAUAGCUUUCUAAAAUCAUUUGAGAAUAUGGCCAUAAUCUUUUAAAUUCUUCAAGUUGCUUGGUGUUUGAAAUGUCGGCCAAUAAUUAUAUGGAGAUAAGAAGCAAAUUGAUGGUUACUUCAAACAACAUUCAAAAUUAAACUAAGUCAAAAACUCAUCAACAAUGAAUCCAGAGGUCAAUCUAUGCAUCAUGACCUCAGAAUAUGGAUCAUCCGUGAAUUAUGUAAAUUAGGAUAUACUUAUGCGUUAUGUCAAUUUCUUAAAUAUCCUUUCUUUUUUUGAUUUGGUCUCUCCUUGCUAUUUUAUAUCUGUUAUGAUUGCACACUUGGUUUAAUUUUCGCCUAAUCCAGGUCAUUCUUAAUUGAAAAUUUCUCCUUGGAUAUUAAAGAAAGCUGCCAGAAAUGCUUCUGUAAAGCUGGAUAUAUAUACAAGUAUAAACGUCAGUAGGUGAAGCACAUAGCAAGACAACAUAAUAAAGUCAAUAGGUGCUUCAAGAUGGGGUCGGAUACCUUUCAUAACUGGACAACAUAAAAAAGUCAAUAGGUGCUUCAAGAACUUGGACAAGCACUUGUUGGGCUCGGCCUGGGGCUCGCUAUAUAUAUUAUCCUCGUUUUUGACUGUCUACCAUGUGGAUUAUGAUAAGCUACUAGAGCUACUUCUCUGGUUCUCUGCAUAAACAUUUUCCAGGUUUAUCUGUAUAAUCAAAGGAAAAAAGUUGUCUGGAAUAUGGCAGCGGCAACAAUGCCUGCUGGGUUCGCCAUUUUCGUGCUUGCAACCACAGUCUUGAUCAUCAUCCAUGCUUCUCCUAUCUUCGGAGAAGGUACAUAUGAUCCCAGUAUCUUCCUCUAGUGUAAAUGUAUUCUUUUCUUUUCUUUUCUUUUCUUUUCCCAAAGAUAUGUAAAUGCAUUUCUUCAAUACGUAUCUGCAACUAUCAUGUCAUAACCAAACUUCGUUUGUUUUCAAAGAAAUUCUGGUAAUAAAAGCUUUCAGGUUGAAAGUAACUUUCAACUGCAUACAAAUUGCUAGUAUUCUUUUAGCACUACAGCUAGCUCUUGCAGAGGACAACAGCCAUCUGUUUCCGUUCCGUUAAGUGGAAAAAUCUUGUAUACAUCAGUUGGGGAAAGAAAGAAUGCAGUUACAGUAUCAAUCUUACUCUUGGUGAAUUUAGUAGUACUCUUAUACUCAACAGGGGAACAGUUUUCAACACGUUUAUGUUAUGGUUCUGUGCAGAGGCUAUUGUACAGAUCCCAUUCAGUUACAUGGGUGCCACGGGCCCCAGCAAAUGGGGAAGCUUGAAGCCCGGCUUCUCAGAGUGCUCAACAGGUAAAUCACAGUCGCCAAUCGACAUUCGAAAGGGAAAGGUUGUUCUGAACAAGAAAUUGAAACCGCUGACCAGAGAAUAUAGUUACAUCAAUGCUACCUUCGUCAACAAUGGUUUCAACAUUGGGGUCAGUAUGUUCUUCGUGUUUCUAUAUAUUCUUUCGUCUAAUGCAUUGAUGUGGAUUGUAUUUUUAUGUUUUCAACACUUGAGAAUCUUAUUCUAUGCCUGCCAAUGAUUUGCCAGCACUAUUUCUUUGUCUCUGAUUAUGCUUAACUGCCUUUCUUCCCAAGUCUAAAAGUUGCUUCCUGAAAUGUUAAAUCUUCUGACUUGCAGCUGCGAUGUGGUAAAAAUACAAACUUACUGAUUUCAGAUGGCAAGGCUUACAAAUUCAGUCAGCUGCAUUGGCAUUCUCCUUCUGAGCACAGAAUUGAUGGAGUUCAGUAUGCUUUCUUUCCCUCUCUCUCUCUCUCUCUCUCUCUCACCGCAUAACUACCCUCAAGCAUUUCAGAUUAGUUACUCUACACUGAAAAAGAAUCAGGGAAAAAGGCUUACUAUUUAAAUCAAUGUGGGCAUGUCAAUUACACAGGAAUUUGCAUCACUUCAAAACUCAAAGCGAUCAAACAGAUAUGGAAGAAUAGAAUUUUCUGUUGUGUACUGUUUAACUCUACACCGCAUUACUUGACUGAGCGGGGAGUGAGUAGGUUUCAGGAAUUAGUACUUGUAUUUCCCCUUAGACUGUUGAAGGGUUAUUUUACUAUGUUUUGCCUUCUGUUAUUUGCUUUUCAAGUUAACUCUUCCAGGUACUACUAAUAACUUACCAAAUGCAUCUGAUCAUCAUCAUGACAGAUACGAUGCUGAACUUCACCUUGUUCACAUUGCUGAUGAUGGCUGCAUUGCAGUGAUAGGUAUCCUCUACCAUCUUGGACAUCCUGAUCCGCUAAUUGCUAAGGUAAUCAAACUAAUCUAUGAUAGACUUGUGCACUUACCAAACAUGGUGCACUCAGAAAAAUUGAACUUGUUAAUUGAUGUAGGUGUCCCUCUUAUUGCAAGCUUGACCAGCAAACAACGUCCUUUUAAUAUAUUUCCAAGUGCUAAAUCUGUUUUUGUUGUGGUAGCUUGGAGGCAGCAGCAAUUCGGUGAUUAGAACUUUCAGUAGUAAAUUAACAUUCGCAUUUCCAAAUCAAAUUUCAACUCUGAAAGUUCGUAUGCAUCAUCAUGGUCACAGGUGCAGAAUAAAUUGUAUCAACUGGCUAAAGACAUGUCCGGAGUUAAAGAGGGAGGUCAGGUUGCGCUUGGGACCUUCAACAUGCAUCAACUCAGAAAAAAUGCCCGCAAGUAUUAUAGGUAUUCUGGUUCUCUCACUACUCCUCCUUGCAACCAGACUGUAGCCUGGUACAUCCUUGGCAAGGUAUGAAAGGAACUUAUUCCACUAAUUUAGGCCACGGGCAUACAUGAUACACGUAAUUGCACAAAUGAAAUGGCAAAAAUUCUAGCUAAAGACUUUAUAUUUGAAUCGUCCUGAUAACAAACAGGUGAGACCAAUAUCACCAGAGCAAGUUCAAGCUCUCAAAGCACCAUUAGGUUGGGCGUACAAGAACAAUUCAAGACCAGUGCAACCACUCAAUGGACGACUAGUUGAGCUAUAUGAAGAGGUGAUCCCAGUCCUGAAUUUGAAUCCAUUUUAACUUGCUGAGUGCCUUGCAAGGUUUUCAGCACAUAUAUAUAUAUGUUGGUGAGGAGAGCAAGAGGCUUUACUAUAUUGUUGUGAUGAGAUUUUGUUGAGAAAUUGCAAAAGCUUGAGGUGCAGAGAGCAAGAGUUCUAAAGCAUAUCACUAAUAAAUAGAGAAGUUUAAGCACGUGCGUGUUUAUAAUGAAUGAUUCCUUUUGCGCAUGAUGACUUUGUCCACCAUUUCAUUACGGAAAACUGUGAAAUACCACGUUUUCUAGUAUUACUUCUCUCUAAUUACGGUUCUACAAGUAUUCAGGGGCCUACUUUUGUUUUUAUUUUUUUUUCCUUUGUUUUUCAAGAAUCAAGUGCCUACUUAUGUUAAACGAAACCAAUUAUCUUUUAGUGAAUGCAAAUGGAUCAACCAGAUACUAAUUCAGCGUAUGAACUGAUGAAAGGAGUCAAGAUAAAGGGUAAACAGCAUACAUAAUUUAAAAGUUUAUGGUUUUUGAGUGGUAGGCCUAUCUCAACUCUCGCAACUGCUGGUCUAGAUUUCAGAAUUAUUGGACUUCCUUUUCUUCGCUACUUGUAAGUUACAAGGGCUAAUGACACUCCCUCCCCCCCUCUCUCCCCCCAGGCGUGGGGAAAGUGGUGCGUAAUGACACUUCUCCCCCUCAAUGAAAACAAUAGGCAUAUUAUCCAUUUGAGAAUAUUUUAUUUAGUAUUUGUGGCAAAUAUUUCAUUUGAAAAGGUAGAAAAAUGGACUGUUUAAAUAUGUUGACAAUUCUACCUUUAUAAUUUUAUCUUUAGUCAAAUUGAUCCUAUGUAUUAUAAUUCACUUGGUGGUUACAAUGUUUGUGGGUGGCUAUGGGUAAAAAUUAGUUGUAAUUACAUUGGUUGGCAAUGUGCGUAACAUGUAAUCAGAUGGUAAAGGAAUAAUUAAGCGAUCGUGAGAGUAAAGUUAAAAAUGAAAAAAAAAAAUUAUGCCAUUCUCCCUUUAUAUAUAAUAUAAAUAUUCAAAAAUAAUUUAUUUGAUAAAUGUGGAUAAUCCUUAUUCCUGAGGUAGAAAAUCAAGAAAGAAGGCAAGCUUUCAUAAGCAAAAUCCUGUUUAUGGACAUAUAUCAAGACUUGGGAUGGGCACUGUGCAGUUCUAUCGUAUCUAGGGUUGCAAGCAAGUUGAGUCGAGUCGAACUUUGGUCUAAUCGAAUUGAACCUUAACUUAGUUUUAUCAACCUCGAGCUCGAGUUCGAGUUCGAGUUCGAAAAAAUACAAAAUAAUUAUUUAUUUUUAAAAAAUAAAUAAAUAAUAUUUUUCUUAAUAAAUAAUAAAAUAUUAUGGAUAUAUAUGUAAUUUUAUGAUUAAAAUAAUAUAUAUAUACUCGAGCUCUAACGAACUUAAUAUUUUUGAGUUCGAGCUCGAGCUCAAGUUCAAUUUGACCUACUCGAACUCGAUAUUGAUCGAGUUCGAGUCGAGUUUUGACUCGAGUAGUUCAAUUCGUUUGCAACCCUAAUCGUCCCAUGCUUAUAUGGAAGGCAAAACCUUGGGUAGAUCAGGUCUUGCAGACCUAAUGGUCCAAAUUUUGUCGCAUCUUUAAUACUUAAAUUGGUGAAAUGAUAUGACUAAUUUUGAAUCAUUAGAUCUACAUAAAUCGGGUCUACCCAAGUGUUUGCUUAUACAAAAAAAACCUACCAAUAGAAUUUGAUGCCAUCUCCACCCUAACUUGGAGAAAGAGGAAAGUCGUUCUAGGACUUGGUGGAAAAUCUCCAAAUAAUUCCAAAGGUCCCAUUGCCAAUGCUGAUCUUCUCAUUUAGGGCUGGAAAAAUACCAACCAAAGCCCCAUUUUGAUGUUUCUCUUGUUACUUUGUUAUAUUUAUACUAUAUAUAAAGAAAGAGAGGAUGGUUGGAUAAAUAAUUUUAUAUACUUGGAAAUUUAUGUUUAUAAAAAUCAUUCAUUACUUUACUACCGAACAUGAAUUACUAAAAUAAUUACUAGUAACCAUAACUAUCUGAACAUAUCUUGACCAAAUAAAUGUAUCUAUACAUUAUAACUACUAAAGUUCCAUCAUUUCAUGGGAAAAAAAAGGUUUAAAUACCAUAAUUUACUUUAAUAAUGAAAAUUUUAUGUAAAAUUAAAUAUUUCUAAAUUGUACACGUAUCGCAUGUACUUUCAGCACCGGUAUAUAUAAUCCACCGUAGGGUUCAAUCCUGAUGGCUGGAUCCUGAGGCAGCAGCAACACUCCUCGUCUUGUUGGACGACAAAAGGAGGCGUGCGACAAAUAUAAGAAAAGUCCGCCUCAGUGCAAACCGUGAUCAAAGUUCUAACGUCGUUCCUUGCUAAAUGGUCGAUCUUAUCGUAUUCCGGAACCUACUUAAGAACGACACUUGGCUUUAUUCAAAUUUAUGAUGAUAAUUUUGGGGAAAAAAUGGGAUCCCCUUCCUCGCUGAAAUCAAAUGAAUGUCGAAACCAAAAACAAGAAUAAACAUGAAAGAUGAUUAUCACAAUUCGCGAGUUGCAAAAUCAAAGCGUUUGACACCUUGUGACGUGUGAGGAAAUGUGCAAUUGCGGCCCGCAUAAACAGAAUGACCACCCAACAAAGUAACCCCCCCAAAAAAAAAAAAAAAAAAAAAGGGUAGAAAACUACUUUACGAUACCUUCAAGUGGGACUGGUCCACCCUUUCUGUUCCAUUCAACUCAACUCCAUUUUCAGGUCAAGGGAAGAAGGUGAAUGACUUGCGAGUCGAAUUAAAAACUUCAUAAUUACUUAAUGUUUUUUUAUCAAUAGGUUUGUUUGGAUAGAGGAUUAUUUUCCAAAAUUUAUUUGCUUACAUCACUAUUACAAUUUCCAACACACCUUUUUAUCUUUCCAAUUAUCUUUUUAUCUCACAUACAUCACAUCACAAAAAGUUCUACAGUAAAAAUAUCUCAAAUAAUUUACAAUCCAAACAGCUAAGCUGAAAUUCAACUCAGUUAAAUUAAAUCGAGUCAAUAAUAUCAUGUAACUAACGUUUCUGCCUGUAAAGCUGAAUGUUUAAAACAAUUCAAAAUGGUGCAGAUUUGUUAGUCAAAAUAUAUUCUACUUUUCUUACGUUAUUAUUUUUAUUUUUUUUUUUGAAACGAUAGAAAUUUAUUAAUAAGAAGUAUAACCAUACAACUUGAGCAAGGCUCAAAAUAAGCUUUACAAUCAUGUGCCAUGACACGAAGAAAUCCCCGGCAUUCCUCGUCGCACUUACGUUAUUAACCAAUUGAUCCUUUUCUCGGUACAGGAAAGAGUCAGGAGCACCGAGCGCAUUACAAAACUGAUGAACUAAUCCUCGAUCGAAGCUUGGUGCCAAAUUUCGUUAAACAAUCAAAUUGAGCUAUUUCUUUAUUUUUGGUCAUUGUACUUGAGAUAUAUUAUACAAUAAUAAUAAUGUCUAUGGAGCAGUUACGCAGUUAGUAGACAGUACUGGGUUUGUUUGGAUAGAGUAUUAUUUGAAAUAUUAUUUGGAAUAAUUACUGUAGCACUUUUUGUGAUGUGAUGUAUGUGAGAUAAAAAGGUAAUUGGGAAGAUAAAAAGCUGUAUUAGAAAUUGUAAUGGUGAUGUCAGCAAAUAUAUUUGACCAAAUAAUCUGCUGUCCAAACAAAUAAAGUGUUAUUGAACUACAGCGCGGGACGUGGAAGCAUUACAUGUGAUUAAUGUUCUCAUGACAGAGUGUAUCGACGGCACAAGCAAUUGGUGUGAAUGUGAUCACAGUCACUCUAACCAAAAUAUGCAAAUCAUAUGAUUAUUGCACCAGUACUUGCAGUUGAAUUGGGAAAAAUAUAAAACUUACUCAUAUAAACAGUCCUGUUUUGUUCUCCAAUUAAAUUGUUCCACUCACGUUUAUAUAUAUAUGUAUGUAUAUGUACGCGCGGGUGCAAAUAAUACCUCAGUUGAAGAAAAACAAAUUCUCGCACACAAGUUUUUGAGAAAAAAAAUAUAUUCAACCAAUUUAAAGGACCACAAUACAAAAUUCUACAAUCAAUUCCCAAAGAUUAUAUGGAGAAGAAAAAGAGAAAAAUAGAUUAACUAGAUACUAGAGUCUAGAGUCUAGAUAGGUGGGGGUGUGAUCCACAAUGUUUGCAUUUACAGGCUUUGCAGUAAAUCACGCAUAUUUACAAGUGAAGCAAAACCCGAUUAAAAAAAAAAAAAA